rnacentral:lncRNA from 1 species
AUGGCUUCGGCUGCUUCAGAGCAGAUCAGCCCUCGCGUCUGGGGGCUGUUUUUUGAUUAUGUCGGGGCGGUGUGCACCUCGCCGGCUCCAUUGGACCGGCUGUACGGAUUAAAUCGAUUGGACGAUUUAAUCGGAGGCGUGCCGCAGUUCCACGCAAUUCCGGGAGUUCCGGGAUUGGUCACGUGGUUCCCCGCAUUACGGGAGGAGUUGGCGGCCCAGCUGGCCGGACGCUCGCCAUCACAGCGGGAUCCAGAUCUGCGGUCUGGAUUUUUGGCAGCGGCCAGAACAGCGGUGGACUAUUUUAAUUCAGGGGCGCCAACAGACUCUCAACCGGCAGUGGUGUCUGCCGUAGCUCCGCCCACGGCUCCCGUCACUCAGAUGGAGACUGUGCCCGGAGCUGUUUGUCUCUCUCCAUCCGAGGCUCGAAGGAUAUGGAGGGAGCUGAAGGGACAGUGUGAUGGAACGGUGGAUUUUAAACGGACAAUUAAGGGACGUACCUCAUCGGAGGUGGAUUUUAGUGUGGCUGCUGAAAGGACAGAGAACUUUAUAGCAACUUCCGGUUUGCCUGCUGCAUCACGAGUCGGCUCACCUGUGCCAGCACCUCGUGUGGCCUACAAGAGUAGUGUGAGGGUGGGUUUGCUUCGUGGGUUUCCAAUGGUAUCACCGCGUCAUGUUCCUGUCGCCAAGCCAUUCCUGGUGGUCUGGAGAAGACCACGUCCGUUCCUGAUGGUGGUCCGGAGGAGACCACGUCCGUGCCUGAUGGUGGUCCGGAGGAGACCACGUCCGUGCCUGAUGGUGGUCCGGUGGAGACCACGUCCGUGCCUGAUGGUGGUCCGGAGGAGGCCACGUCCGUUCCUGAGGGUGGUCGGGAGGAGGCCACGUCCGUUCCUGAGGGUGGUCGGGAGGAGGCCACGUCCGUUCCUGAGGGUGGUCCGGAGGAGGCCACGUCCGUUCCUGGUGGAACGUUGCGUCGCGGUGGUCCAAGGAGGACGCCGCUGGUUCCUGUUUCUCGUCGCGGUGGUCCAAGGAGGACGCCGCUGGUUCCUGUUUCUCGUCGCGGCGGUCCAAGGAGGACGCCGCUGGUUCCUGUUUCUCGUCGCGGCGGUCCAAGGAGGACGCCGCUGGUUCCUGUUUCUCGUCGCGGCGGUCCAAGGAGGACGCCGCUGGUUCCUGUUUCUCGUUGCGGGGGUCCAAGGAGGACGCCGCUGGUUCCUGUUUCUCGUCGCGGCGGUCCAAGGAGGACGCCGCUGGUUUCCCUGCACUCCGGCGGCGGUCCGGAGCUGCGUAGUUGUCUUGUGGACUGGUUGCCUCGCCUUCAGCGUCGACAGUUGCCACAGUGGCGCUGCCUCCUACGCCGUCGGCCGCCACGGGAGUCUCAACGUCUGA